rnacentral:lncRNA from 10 species
UGAAUGAGUGGAAUCAGUGACUCAGACAAAGCCACUGUUGCACAACUGUAUGCAUGCACAGUGAACUCUGCAGACUCUGCAGAUGGUUCCUGUAAAUAGCGCUUAAAACCACAGUGGAAAAGCCACAUGCUCCUGAUACACUUGGGGGGACAUAAAGGGAAACCCACACACCCAAGGAGGAGGGCUCUGGCCAUGCAAGGCUGAAGGCCCAGUGUACUGAUAUGAAAACUGAAGCUCAGACAGAAGAGGCGACGUUGCUUUCUUAACCACUGGAUUUGCAGUGCUGUGGUUCUCAGAAGAGGCCAGGACAGGUUAAUCCACUCACUUGGGAGGCAGAAGGAAAUCUUUCCAUAUCACCCAGGCUGAUCUUCAACGAACUGGACUCAAGUAUUCCUCCCACCUCGGCCUCCAGGGGGGACUGUUUGACGCCAGAGUGGAGACGGUCAGGCAGCCACUCGGGCCUUGGAAGCAAAGUCAAAAGUUGAAUGUACAGCUGGUAUAAAAAUGGUGCUUUGUCGUCAUGAAGAAGGUGUAUUCUGGGAUCAAACCACCUGGCUGGAGAUGCUUACUAACCUCAGUUUCUUCAUCUGACCUUACCUUUCUAAAAGAAUAAGAAGAAGAUGAUACAUAUUCCUCUAAAGUCCCAACAGGAACCUUUUCCCCUCACUCCCUCCCCAGAGAUGUGUAUCAUUUCCAUGAGUGUCUGUACUUUUACAACAUGUGCAUAUUAAUAAACAAAAUAUGACAAAUUAUUUUGUCUUAAUAUUUGCAUAAAUCUAGCCAUACUCUACACCACUUUUGCAACUUUCACUAUUAUAUAUUUUGAAGAUUAUCCGUGUUUAUGCACAUAAGUUUAUCAUUUUAACUGUUGAAUAGUGUUUCAUUAUAUGAAUUAACCAUAAUUCAUCUAUUUCCCUGAGUGACAAUUAGGUUUCUUUUUGUUUUUAUGCUCUGAUGAACAAUCUUGCAAUUAUUAUCUUUGUAUAUGUCUUCAUGUAUAAGAAAUUCUCCAGGGUAGACACUUAGAAGUAAAGGGUCUGACUCAGAGAGUCUGUGUAUUUUAAAAUGUAUUGGUUAUUGUCAAAUUGUUCCUCAAAGUAGAUGUACCAAUUUACAUUCCUACAGUGGUAUAUAACAGUUUUUUUUUCUCCACAUCCUCUUCAACACUCGUCAUUACCAG